rnacentral:rRNA from 1 species
CAAGUCGAACGGCAGCACAGAGGAGCUUGCUCCUUGGGUGGCGAGUGGCGGACGGGUGAGUAAUGCAUCGGGAUCUACCCUGACGUGGGGGAUAACCUCGGGAAACCGGGACUAAUACCGCAUACGUCCUACGGGAGAAAGCGGGGGACCUUCGGGCCUCGCGCGGCAGGACGAACCGAUGUGCGAUUAGCUAGUUGGCGGGGUAAUGGCCCACCAAGGCGACGAUCGCUAGCUGGUCUGAGAGGAUGAUCAGCCACACUGGGACUGAGACACGGCCCAGACUCCUACGGGAGGCAGCAGUGGGGAAUAUUGGACAAUGGGCGAAAGCCUGAUCCAGCAAUGCCGCGUGUGUGAAGAAGGCCCUCGGGUUGUAAAGCACUUUUAUCAGGAACGAAAUACCGCGGGUUAAUAACCUACGGGGCUGACGGUACCUGAGGAAUAAGCACCGGCUAACUUCGUGCCAGCAGCCGCGGUAAUACGAAGGGUGCAAGCGUUAAUCGGAAUUACUGGGCGUAAAGGGUGCGUAGGCGGUUAUUUAAGUCUGCCGUGAAAUCCCCGGGCUCAACCUGGGAAUGGCGGUGGAUACUGGAUAGCUAGAGUGUGUCAGAGGAUGGUGGAAUUCCCGGUGUAGCGGUGAAAUGCGUAGAGAUCGGGAGGAACAUCAGUGGCGAAGGCGGCCAUCUGGGACAACACUGACGCUGAAGCACGAAAGCGUGGGGAGCAAACA